GAAUCUGGGGGAAUGGGCGAAAGCAAAAAGAGGGACACCGCGUGGGGGAAGAAGGCCUCAGGGUUGUAAACCCGUUUUAUGGGGGAAGAGAUAGGACGGUACCUCAGGAAUAAGCAUCGGCUAACUACGUGCCAGCAGCCGCGGUAAUAGGUAGGAUGCAAGCGUUGUCCGGAUUUACUGGGCGUAAAGGGUGUGUAGGCGGCAUGUUAAGUCUCAUGUGAAAUCUCCCGGCUCAACUGGGAGGGGUCAGGGGAAACUGGCAAGCUGGAGGGCAGCAGAGGAAAGCGGAAUUCCGGGAGUAGUGGUGGAAUGCGUAGAUACCCGGAGGAACACCGGAGGCGAAGGCGGCUUUCUGGGCUGUACCUGACGCUGAGACACGAAAGCGUGGGGAGCAAACCGGAUUAGAUACCCGGGUAGUCCACGCCCUA
rnacentral:rRNA from 1 species